UACGGAGGGUGCAAGCGUUAUCCGGAAUCACUGGGCUUAAAGGGUGCGUAGGCGGGCGAUCAAGUCAGGGGUGAAAGCCUCCAGCUCAACUGGAGAAGUGCCUCUGAUACUGGUCGUCUCGAGGGAGGUAGGGGCGUGCGGAACUUCCGGUGGAGCGGUGAAAUGCGUAGAUAUCGGAAGGAACACCAGUGGCGAAAGCGGCGCGCUGGACCUCUUCUGACGCUGAGGCACGAAAGCCAGGGGAGCAAACGGG
rnacentral:rRNA from 1 species